UUUCCAAUUAACUUUAAAUUAAAAUUCUAUAUUAUUAGCGUUUCAUAAUGUUCAGCGGGCUUAUACGAAUCAAAAGCGCCUUAUGUAAACCUGAUUCUAUUACAACUUCGUUGAUUUGUUUUUUUAUUUGACAAUAAACAAUGUAAUCAAAAUGUUGCCAUGAUGAGGGAAUUGACAUCACUGGACCUAUUAUAUAAGAUCCUGUCUACUGUACGAAGAUUUUUGGUGAUAUGAACGCGGUCGAAACGGGGUCAGCAGUAUAUUUACAUGUUUUUAUGUAUCGUUAAUGCUAAAAUGUCAAAAACGUUGAAAA